UACGUAGGGGUGCAAGCGUUAUCCGGAAUUAUUGGGCGUAAAGAGCUCGUAGGCGGUUUGUCACGUCUGCUGUGAAAACUGGAGGCUUAACCUCCAGACGUCGACGGAAACCGCGCGGCCUAGAGUCCGGAAGAGGAGAGUGGAAUUCCUGGUGUAGCGGUGAAAUGCGCAGAUAUCAGGAAGAAACACCAAUGGCGAAGGCAGCUCCUCUGGGGACGGUACUGACGCUGAGACGCGAAACGUGGGGAGCGAACAGG
rnacentral:rRNA from 1 species